rnacentral:rRNA from 1 species
UACGUAGGGCGCAAGCGUUGUCCGGAAUUAUUGGGCGUAAAGAGCUCGUAGGCGGUCUGUUACGUCCGCUGUGAAAACCCAGGGCUUAACCCUGGGCUUGCAGUGGAUACGGGUAGACUAGAGGCAGGUAGGGGAGAAUGGAAUUCCCGGUGUAGCGGUGAAAUGCGCAGAUAUCAGGAGGAACACCGGUGGCGAAGGCGGGUCUCUGGGCCGUAACUGACGCUGAGGAGCGAAAGCAUGGGGAGCGAACAGG